UCCUCGCUGGUCUACCGGUUAUGAUUUGGCUCUCUCAUUAACACCGGGUGUUCAGCCACGAACGGGGUUCGACUCCCCGGCGGGGAA